GCUAGGAUGGCAGAGCCUGGUAAUUGCGAAAGGCCUAAGCCCUUGGUACAGAGGUUCAAGUCCUCUUUCUAGCU
rnacentral:tRNA from 1 species